AAUGAACGCUGGCGGCAUGCCUUACACAUGCAAGUCGAACGGCAGCAUGACCUAGCUUGCUAGGUUGAUGGCGAGUGGCGAACGGGUGAGUAAUGCAUCGGAACGUGCCUUUUAGUGGGGGAUAACGUAGCGAAAGUUACGCUAAUACCGCAUAUUCUCUGAGGAGGAAAGCAGGGGACCUUCGGGCCUUGCGCUAGAAGAGCGGCCGAUGUCGGAUUAGCUAGUUGGUGAGGUAAAGGCUCACCAAGGCAACGAUCCGUAGCGGGUCUGAGAGGAUGAUCCGCCACACUGGGACUGAGACAAGGCCCAGACUCCUACGGGAGGCAGCAGUGGGGAAUUUUGGACAAUGGGCGCAAGCCUGAUCCAGCCAUGCCGCGUGAGUGAAGAAGGCCUUCGGGUUGUAAAGCUCUUUCGGCUGGGAAGAAAUCGCACCCUCUAAUACAGGGUGUGGAUGACGGUACCAGCAUAAGAAGCACCGGCUAACUACGU
rnacentral:rRNA from 1 species